GGCGCCUUGGCCGAGCAGUUAGGCAGGGGUCUGCAAAACCUCUUAGAUGGGUGCAACUCCCAUAGGUGCCUCCA
rnacentral:tRNA from 1 species